GUCAAACCCUGCUGCUCUGCCCUGAAACACUGCAGUACUGUGCGUUUUCGUUUUUUGGAAGGUUACCAAAGUACUCAUGAACCAUGAGACCUUUUCAAGUGGACCCAGCCGCUGAUCAAUGAACCAUGCCCAGUGGUCGGUCGUCUUCUCUGGAGCUUUGUUGUAAUUUGCUCCGUACAGUAAAGCGAUCCAUCGUCCCGCUCACGGCUUUCCACUUUUAACUGUUACCAUCCCUCACACUGGCUGCCAAUCAGAGCCUUUGAUGUGUCACACACUUAAAAUUCCCACACGUGAAU